UUCUUCUAAACCCAUGAAUAUGAAUGUUAAAUAUUUAGUAUGUUGUCUUCUGGAACCCACAAGCUGAUCUGCAAGCUCAGGACCAUGCACAUAGGAUAGAUCAGAAGAAAGAAGUUCAAGUUUUCCAGUUUUGCACCGAGUAUACCAUUGAGGAGAAAGUGAUUAAGAGGGCAUACAAGAAGCUUGCGUUGGAUGCUUUGGUCAUCCAACAAGGCCAACUGGCAAAGCAGAAGUCUGUCAAUAAGGAUGACCUGUUGCAGAUUUGGUACUGAAAUGGUGUUCAGUUCCAAGGACAGCACAAUUACAGAUGAGGAUAUUGAUCGUAUUAUAGCUAAAGGAGAAGAGACAACA